GGAAUGUGAAAGGCUCCCGCCCGCCGCCAUUUUCUUUCUUUCUUGGCAGGCAGCGAGCGGGGCAGGAAGCGGAGGCCGAGCGGCCAUGGCGGACUAUUCCACGGUGCCCCCUCCCGCUUCGGGCGCGCCCGGGGGAGGCGGCGGCGGAGGCGGAGGGGUCAAUGAUGCCUUUAAAGACGCGCUGCAGCGGGCGAGGCAGAUUGCAGCAAAAAUUGGUGGAGACGCAGGGACCUCAAUGAACUCAAACGACUACGGUUAUGGAGGACAAAAAAGACCUCUUGAGGAUGGAGAUGGCUCUUGGACAAGUCUGAGCAGUACAGCACACUGGGAGGGAAUGCCCUCUCCUUUUAAAGAUCAACCAGAUGCUAAGAAAGUUGCACCUCAGAAUGAUUCUUUUGGAACCCAGAUGCCACCGAUGCAUCAACAGCAAAGAUCUGUAAUGACAGAGGAGUACAAGGUUCCAGAUGGAAUGGUUGGAUUCAUAAUAGGCAGAGGAGGAGAACAGAUCUCACGCAUACAGCAAGAAUCUGGAUGUAAAAUACAGAUAGCUCCUGAUAGUGGUGGCCUGCCUGAAAGAUCUUGUAUGUUAACUGGAACACCCGAAUCUGUCCAGUCUGCAAAGAGAUUACUUGAUCAGAUAGUUGAAAAGGGCAGACCUGCACCUGGCUUUCAUCAUGGUGAUGGACCUGGAAAUGCAGUGCAAGAAAUUAUGAUUCCAGCCAGUAAGGCAGGGUUAGUUAUUGGGAAAGGUGGAGAGACAAUUAAGCAACUUCAGGAACGAGCAGGAGUCAAAAUGGUCAUGAUUCAAGAUGGGCCACAGAACACUGGGGCAGACAAGCCUCUUAGGAUAACAGGAGACCCAUACAAAGUUCAACAAGCCAAGGAAAUGGUGUUGGAGCUGAUUCGUGACCAAGGUGGCUUUAGAGAGGUGCGCAACGAAUAUGGGUCAAGAAUAGGAGGAAAUGAAGGGAUAGACGUUCCAAUACCACGAUUUGCUGUAGGUAUAGUAAUUGGAAGAAAUGGAGAGAUGAUCAAAAAAAUACAGAACGAUGCUGGUGUUAGGAUCCAGUUCAAACCAGAUGAUGGAACAACUCCAGAUAGAAUAGCCCAAAUCACAGGACCUCCAGACAGAUGCCAGCAUGCUGCAGAAAUUAUAACAGAUCUCCUUCGUAGUGUCCAGGCUGGUAAUCCUGGUGGACCAGGACCAGGUGGUCGUGGAAGGGGUAGAGGCCAAGGCAACUGGAACAUGGGGCCUCCUGGUGGAUUACAGGAAUUCAAUUUUAUUGUACCCACUGGAAAAACUGGAUUAAUCAUUGGCAAAGGAGGUGAAACUAUCAAAAGCAUAAGCCAGCAGUCUGGUGCUAGAAUAGAACUUCAGAGAAAUCCACCACCAAAUGCAGAUCCAAACAUGAAAAUGUUUACUAUCCGUGGGACACCACAGCAGAUUGAUUAUGCUCGACAACUUAUAGAAGAAAAAAUUGGAGGUCCAGUAAAUCCUUUGGGUCCACCUGUUCCUCAUGGGCCCCAUGGUGUUGUUCCUGGCCCACAUGGACCUCCUGGACCGCCAGGUCCCGGCACUCCUAUGGGACCUUAUAAUCCUGCUCCUUAUAAUCCAGGACCCCCUGGUCCUGCACCCCAUGGUCCACCAGCACCAUAUGCCCCACAAGGGUGGGGUAAUGCCUAUCCACACUGGCAGCCACCAAAUCCACCAGAUCCAGGUAAGCCAGGAACAGACCCCAAUUCUGCAGCAUGGGCUGCUUAUUAUGCUCACUACUAUCAGCAGCAAGCACAGCCACCACCUGCAGCUCCUCCUGCUGGACCAGCUCCAACUCAAACUAAUGGACAAGGAGAUCAGCCAAAUCCAGCACCAGCAGGGCAAGUUGAUUAUACCAAGGCAUGGGAAGAAUACUACAAAAAAAUGGGUCAACAAGGGCAGCCACAAGAUUAUUCAAAGGCUUGGGAGGAAUAUUACAAGAAGCAAGGUCAGGCAGUUCCAGCACCAGCCGGGGCCCCACCAGGUGGUCAGCCUGAUUACAGUGCAGCAUGGGCUGAAUAUUACAGACAACAGGCAGCAUAUUAUGCCCAGACAAGUCCACAGGGAAUGCCACAGCAUCCACCAGCACCACAGUGCAGGUUUGAUCCAGCCAGUAUAGAACUAGCUCUAUAGGGGUGAGAAGGACUGUGCUGUGUAUCAUCCUUGAUUGUUCCUUCAAGGAGCAUUGCACUUGCCUUCCCAGACCUUCCACCUUAGGUUCUGCUGCAAAAAGCAACAGGUAAGCACAACCUAAGGAAGUAUAUAAAUAAAUAUUUCAGUACAUUAAUGUUGUCCCUGUGAGAUUUUUUUCUUUUUUUUUUCUUUUUCUUUAUUUUUGUGGUUGUGUAUCAAAAGCAAUCUGCUGCUUUCCCCAAAUGCAUUGUUACUCAUGGUACCAUUACAGUGGGAAGUCUUAAGUUGUUAAACAAGUGUUUAUAUUUCUAGGUAAACAUGCAUCUUUUAGAAAAGAUAAGUGGAUUGCUGCAGUAAUUCAACUUGAUCUGGAUAGCCAUUUUUAUGACUUUUAUUCAAGCAGUUCAGUCGUUACAAUUAAACGAACAAACUUUUUCAUUAUGCAGAAAAAUAGUUAGAAAUUUCAACAGCCUUCACAAAUUUCGUUUUUUGUUUUUUUUUAAAGAAAUAGGAUAUAUUCCCACCCUGUCUGUAAGAACUAAAUACAAAGGGUACUUUGUAUUUCUAUUAUUAAUGAUGCUGGUAAUUUAAAAGUAUACAAAAUAUUCGUGCAAUUUUUAGAUAACCUAGUUUUCUUAUCCAUCUAUAUGGUCAAAAAACUAAGACUUCAGCUUUUCAGAAUAGUAUGUCUUUAUAGAAAGCAUGUGCACCAAUGAAAUGCUAAUGUAUGGCAAAUUUAGUUUUUUAAUGAUCUAUAUAGCAAUCAGCAUUUUCUGUUCCUUGAUACUUUAACUGAAUUGCUGUAUAUGCUUAGUGUGUUUCAUAGAUGGUCUGGUAUAAUUUUUUCAGUUAAAUUGAAAAAAAUAUCUACGGCAGCAUCUUACCAGAAUUUGUUUUAUUAUUCAUUUUUUAAAAUGUGCUGAUCCUUUUUCAAAAGUCCUGCUUAUCUGUGCGUUCAAGAAAAAUAUUCAAAAAUACUGCCUUCAUUUUCACACACAGUGCUGAAGAUGCUGCAAGCACCAAAUCAUAGCUCAUAGAAUCAGGUCCUGAGAUAGUUACUACCAUUAAAGAGGAAUCCUUUGAGUGUAUGCCAUUGGUGAGCCGAUGAGCAUGGACCAUAGAAGGGCUCCAUGUAGAAGGUAACAUUGGCAAAAAAAUAACAAGAUUUGAAAUGUAUCCCAUUCAUAAUGGUGUAGGGAAUAUUUUUUUUCUGUUUGAUCACUUUUCAUUCUUUUAAAGUGCUAUUUUCUUUACCAUAAAUGUUCCAUAAUCUGUUAAGUUUUUUAAACUGUGGUUAAUAAUAUAAGCCAUCUAUUUUGAUUUACAUUAUUCUAAACAGUCAAGUUUAGAUAUAUUGACUUUCUGAACUAAAUUAAUAUUUGUACUUAAAUCUCUUUAAGCCACUUCAUUUUGGUUGACAUGUAGUUUUGAUAAUGUAAUUCAGACUUUAUUUUUUUCAUGGGAAGAGCUAGGUAUGUACCAGUUUAAAUCCAAUAAUUUAUUGUUGGGUGGGUCUUCUCUUUCACUUCCUUUUAAACAUGCUACUAUUUUAUUUCACUGCAAUAUAUUUUUUGAUUACUAAGAUCAUAAAUUGUAGUAAACCUAAAAAGUGGGAGGAAAGACAAAGUCAUUUUAUUGGAUAGCUGCUGGAGCAUGAAAGAUGAGAUGAAUCUGCCUUAGUUUAGUGUCUGAGGUGGUUUGUUUGUUUUUUGUUUUUUUUUCAGCUCACUUAGCUGCUGGACUUACAGGCAUGUAACUGUUGAAUGGUGUUAGUUCAGUCUCAAAACUGAGACUUUUUCCAGAAGAUGGAAAAUAAAUUGGAAUAUGAUCAGAUAAGGGAGUUUUUGAGAAUUAUUUUAGAAAACUAGAACUUUCCAAAAUGGGACUUUUAAAUAAAUAUUUAUUUGUUAAAACCUAUGAAUGAACUUAGAAAGUGAAGUUUUUUUUCCAGUUUAAGGGGAAGUAGGGAAGCAUUAAUGUUCAAAGUAGUAAAAGUAUUUUCAGAUCACUUUCUUCAGUCUAUACUAUACUGUAGGAAAUGAUGUGAAAUAAAAUAUCAGCUAGAAGGGUAUUUCUCGAAUCAUUAUAUGUAGUGUAUUAUAGUGUCAGGAAGGUGGUAUUAUUUACUGCAUAGCCUUUAUUACUUGAAAUACUUUGGUUUUCUAUUACAGUAUUUUAGUUUCUACUAUCCAACAUUUUCUUCCAUCCUGUCCCACACAAAGUAGCCUUUAGGUUUCUCUUGCAUGCUAUAAAUUGAUUAGGAAGAAACUGACUAUUCUAGAAAGCGCACAGUUGACAGGGUUCCCGUUUCCCUAGUAGUACUCUAUACAGCUCAUAUGUAUAUGCACAGAUAUUUCUCUUACGUGCACGUGAAAUGCAUUUUCGUCCUGAGAAAAGUGUUCUCUACAGAAACUACCCGUGUGUAAAAAGAAGAUUGGCUUUAAAAGGCAACUGUGAUGGGAACAGUGUCUUAGGGAGAUGCAGCUUGGACUUGAGGUAAAUUGAAUGCUUUACAAAAUGUGGUUUUGAGCUUGCAUUGACAUUGUAUGUAAUAUAGGUACACAUUUAAUUGUAUAAUGGUUUUGUAUGGUUUAUGGCUUUCUCAAUAAAUGUAAACUGAUUAAUAGUACAAA